rnacentral:rRNA from 1 species
UUGAUUCUGGCUCAGAUUGAACGCUGGCGGGAUGCUACACAUGCAAGUCGAACGGCAGCACGGACUUCGGUCUGGUGGCGAGUGGCGAACGGGUGAGUAAUGUAUCGGAACGUGCCCUGUGUGGGGGAUAACGCCUGCGCGGCCAGCAGCUAUUACCGCAUACGCGCUCGGGGGAAAAGCGGGGGACCUUCGAGCUCGCACUAUUAGAGCGGCCGAUAUCGGAUUAGCUAGUUUGGUGGGGUAACGGCUCACCAAGGCGACGAUCCGUAGCUGGAUGGUUUGAGAGGACGACCAGCCACCUGGGACUGAGACACGGCCCAGACUCCUACGGGAGGCAGCAGUGGGGAAUUUUGGACAAUGGGGAAACCCUGAUCCAGCCAUCCGCGUGUGCGAUGAAGGCCUUCGAGGUUUGUAAAGCACUUUUGGCGGAAAGAAACGGCACGGGAUAAUACCCCGUGCAGCUGACGUACCUGCAGAAUAAGCACCGGCUAACUACGUGCCAGCAGCCAUGAUGACCGUAGAGUGCAAGCGUUAAUCGGAAUUACUGGGCGUAAGCGUGCGCAGGCGGUUCGGAAAGAAAGAUGUGAAAUCCCAGAGCUUAACUUUGGAACUGCGUUUUUAACUACCGAGCUAGAGUGUGUCAGAGGGGAGGUGGAAUUCCGUGUAGCAGUGAAAUGCGUAGAUAUGCGGAGGAACACCGAAUGGCGAAGAAAGCAGCCUCCUGGGAUAACACUAACGCUCAUGCACGAAAGCGUGGGAGCAAGCAAGUGCAGAUGCCCUGUUGGUCACGCCUAAACGAUGUCAACUAGCUGUUGGGGCCUUGGGCCUUGGUAGCCGCAGCUAACGCGUGAGAUUGACCGCCUGGGGAGAUACGGUCGCAGAUUAAAACUCAAGGAAUUGACGGGGACCCGCACAAGCGGUGGAUGAUGUGGAUUAAUUCGAUGCAACGCGAAAAAACCUUACCUACCUUGACAUGUCUGGAAUCCCGAAGAGAUUUGGGGUACUCGCAAAGAGAACCGGAACACAGGUGCUGCAUGGCUGUCGUGGCUCGUGUCGUGAGAUGUUGGGUUGAGUCCCGCAACAGCGCAACCGCGUCAUUGGAUUUGCUGCGAAAGGGCACUCUAAUGGGGGACUGCCGGUGACAAACCGGAGGAAGGUGGGGAUGACGCGUCAGAUCCUCAUGGCCCUUAUGGGUAGGGCUGCGUCAUACAAUGGUCGGGACAGAGGAUUGCCAGCCCGCGAGGGGAGCCAAUCCCAGAAACUCGAUCGUAGUCCGGAUCGCAGUCUGCAACUGACUACGUGAAGUCGGAAUCGCUAGUAAUCGCGGAUCAGCAUGUCGCGGUGAAUACGUUCCCGGGUCUUGUACACACCGCCGUCACACCAUGGGAGUACGGUUUCCCAAAUGGUUAGCUAAUAACGUGGGGAGGGCGAUUACUGCAAUGGGAUUCAUGACUGGGGUGAAGUCGCUAACAGAAUAA